ensembl:rRNA 5S_rRNA 5S ribosomal RNA
CCCAGGUGCCCCCUGCCAACAUCUACGGGAAUACAACCAUGAUGUCUGAAGCUAAGGAGGGUCGUGUCUGGCUAGUACUUGGAUGGGAAAUCACCUGGGGAUACAGGGUGAUCUAGGC